AGCGAACGCUGGCGGCAGGCCUAACACAUGCAAGUCGAACGAACCUUUCGGGGUUAGUGGCGGACGGGUGAGUAACACGUGGGAACGUGCCUUUAGGUUCGGAAUAACUCAGGGAAACUUGUGCUAAUACCGAAUGUGCCCUUCGGGGGAAAGAUUUAUCGCCUUUAGAGCGGCCCGCGUCUGAUUAGCUAGUUGGUUGAGGUAAUGGCUCACCAAGGCGACGAUCAGUAGCUGGUCUGAGGAUGAUCAGCCACAUUGGGACUGAGACACGGCCCAAACUCCUACGGGAGGCAGCAGUGGGGAAUCUUGCGAAAUGGGCGAAAGCCUGACGCAGCCAUGCCGCGUGAAUGAUGAAGGUCUUAGGAUUGUAAAAUUCUUUCACCGGGGACGAUAAUGACGGUACCCGGAGAAGAAGCCCCGGCUAACUUCGUG
rnacentral:rRNA from 1 species